rnacentral:rRNA from 1 species
UACGGAAGGCAGCAGUGGGGAAUAUUGCACAAUGGGCGCAAGCCUGAUGCAGCCAUGCCGCGUGUAUGAAAAAGGCCUUCGGGUUGUAAAGUACUUUCAGUCGUGAGGAAGGUGUUAAGGUUAAUAACCUUAGCAAUUGACGUUAGCGACAGAAGAAGCACCGGCUAACUCCGUGCCAGCAGCCGCGGUAAUACGGAGGGUGCGAGCGUUAAUCGGAAUUACUGGGCGUAAAGGGCACGCAGGCGGUUAAUUAAGUUGGAUGUGAAAUCCCCGGGCUUAACCUGGGAAUGGCAUUCAAGACUGGUUAGCUAGAGUCUUGUAGAGGGGGUAGAAUUCCAUGUGUAGCGGUGAAAUGCGUAGAGAUGUGGAGGAAUACCGGUGGCGAAGGCGGCCCCGUGGACAAAGACUGACGCUCAUGUGCGAAAGCGUGGGGAGCGAAACGAGGGAUUAGAUACC